GACGAACGCUGGCGGCGUGCUUAACACAUGCAAGUCGCACGGAAAGGCCCUGCUUUUGUGGGGUGCUCGAGUGGCGAACGGGUGAAUAACACGUGAGUAACCUGCCCUUGACUUUGGGAUAACUUCAGGAAACUGGGGCUAAUACCGGAUAGGAGCUCCUGCUGCAUGGUGGGGGUUGGAAAGUUUCGGCGGUUGGGGAUGGACUCGCGGCUUUUCAGCUUGUUGGUGGGGUAGUGGCUUACCAAGGAUUUGACGGGUAGCAGGCCUGAGAGGGUGACCGGCCACAUUGGGACUGAGAUACGGCCCAGCCUCCUACGGGAGGCAGCAGUGGGGAAUAGUGCACAAUGGGCGGAAGCCUGAUGCAGCAACGCCGCGUGCGGGAUGACGGCCUUCGGGUUGUAAACCGCUUUCGCCUGUGACGAAGCGUGAGUGACGGUAAUGGGUAAAGAAGCACCGGCUAACUACGUG
rnacentral:rRNA from 1 species